rnacentral:rRNA from 1 species
GACGAACGCUGGCGGCGCGCCUAACACAUGCAAGUCGAACGAGAGAUGAGGAGCUUGCUCUUCAAAUCGAGUGGCGAACGGGUGAGUAACGCGUGAGGAACCUGCCUCAAAGAGGGGGACAACAGUUGGAAACGACUGCUAAUACCACAUAAGCCCACGGCUCGGCAUCGAGCAGAGGGAAAAGGAGCAAUCCGCUUUGAGAUGGCCUCGCGUCCGAUUAGCUGGUUGGUGAGGUAAUGGCCCACCAAGGCGACGAUCGGUAGCCGGACUGAGAGGUUGAACGGCCACAUUGGGACUGAGACACGGCCCAGACUCCUACGGGAGGCAGCAGUGGGGAAUAUUGCACAAUGGGGGAAACCCUGAUGCAGCGACGCCGCGUGGAGGAAGAAGGUCUUCGGAUUGUAAACUCCUGUUGU